rnacentral:lncRNA from 1 species
UUUAACUAUUUGAUUUCAUAACAUAAAUAAUACUGGAUUGAUCCCCAAAGAGAUCUUCAUAGCCUGUGCUAAUAAAUGGCAUGACCCUGCCUUAGCAUAAAUCAAACAAUUAUAUCUUGACUAUAUGUGCAAAGAAAGAGAACUAACAUUAUUAAAUGCCAAAAGCUGAUCUACAAAUAUAAAAUGUUUAAUAUACUAAGAACGUGUAUGGAAAAGAUUAUCCAGAAGGAAAUCAUAGUGAAUCAAUCUUUUAUCUUUAAAAAAUAAAAAAUUUCCUUCAUAUUUAUUUUUACAGAUUUUGUCAUCAGUCAUUUAGAAGAAAAGCAACACCCUAGCCCAGGCUCAUACUCCUAUGCAUGUUACUACAUACCAAUGUCUCUUCUCUGAGUUUCCAUGGGAUUAUGCCUUGCCCCGACAUAAUCAAAUAUAAGCAAAGAAAUGAAAAAUGCCAUAAGAAAGAGAAGUAUUUUAGCCAUGCCGUACAAGAGAAACACUACUACUUUCAACCACUAUCUUCCAUAGCUUCUAAAUGGAGCCUGCUCGGUAGGGACAUCCGCUUUGCUCGGUA